ACGGAGGAUCCGAGCGUUAUCCGGAUUUAUUGGGUUUAAAGGGUGCGUAGGCGGCCUUUUAAGUCAGCGGUGAAAGUCUGUGGCUCAACCAUAGAAUUGCCGUUGAAACUGGGGGGCUUGAGUAUGUUUGAGGCAGGCGGAAUGCGUGGUGUAGCGGUGAAAUGCUUAGAUAUCACGCAGAACCCCGAUGGCGAAGGCAGCCUGCCAAGCCAUGACUGACGCUGAUGCACGAAAGCGUGGGGAUCAAACAG
rnacentral:rRNA from 1 species